GCCGCGCCGGCAGGGGGCGCCGGGGCCGCGCGGCCGGUGACGGGCGGGGCCGUGGCGGGGCCCGGGGCUGAGGGACGGACGGGCGGGCGGGCGCCGAGCUGCGACCGAGGCCUGGGACGUGGGCAGGGUCGGCGCUUUUGAAUGUUACAGUGGAGCUGUUACCGGCACGUGGGGAUGUUCCCCUCUCCUCCCUUUCUUCCUUCUCUUUCCCUUUGGAGGGUGGUGUGUUCCCCGCAGCCCUGCAUGGAGAUGCGCACGGACACGCCGGGGGCUUGCGGAGCUCUCGGUGCCGCCGGCAGCCCGGCCUGAAGGCACCGCCGGCGGGGCGAUCGGCGGCCGAGUGCCUGAACUCACUUACCGAGAAACAGCGUUGAAAAUAAGUGAAGCAUUGCAGUUCAAUCACCGCACAAAAUUCUAGUACGCGAAGUGAUCUCCUCAUUUAAACUAUCAAGUCAGCUCCGCGCUCCAGCCACGCUCCACUUCCUUCCCCUUCUGCCGACCGCUGCAGGACAUCCCCUCCGUACCCCAUCGACGGCUGCCGUGUGCAGAGGUGCCGAGGGAAAAGUAGCGCUCGUGAGUGUUAUUUUGUUUGGGUGUUAGCUGUGUAGGGGUCAGGCCCGGUUGCCUAUAAAUCAGGAGCAGAAUUUGGGAAGAAGCAGCUCCCUGUCCUGAUGUGAACAAGCAGAUGUUGUGGGUAGGAGAUCGUGGACUGAGUAAUUGUAAAAUGUUCUCUACAGGUAGCCAGAAGUCCUUCAAAAGGACUAUGUCAUCCUCAGUCAGGCGUUAAUGUGCUGGUGGCUCUACAAGUAUGUACAUCUUAAAAAAAAGGAAGUCUUGGAUUAUACAAAGUACAUUAGUAUCACUGAAGGUGAGGGUUUUAAAACAAGUCUCACAGGCCUUCUGUACUCAGGGCAAGAUCAUCUCCUCUUCCUUACUCCUUUUUUUGCAGCUGUUAUAUCACUUUUCCUUCCCCUUUUAUGUUAACUACAAGUGCAGAUUUGCCUCAUAAGUAUUUCCAAGGCUUCUGCAAGUAUACAUUCCAUUUUAACCUUCACUUCUCAGUACACCAUUGCUUUGUUUGCUCCUAUCCCAAAUUGCCACAAUAUGAAAACUGAUAAAAGGUUCCUGCUAAUAAAUACUUUCUUCUUCUCUACCUCAUCAUCAAGUGUUCUCCAAGUUAGUCUAGUCCAAGUCUCAAGACACCAGUACUGAGCUUUGCCCUAAUGAUGAGAUUAGGAAAUACUUUUCUAUUAAAUAUUAGAAAUAGCAACAAAUUUAUUUGUGGAAAUCUGGAAUUUCCUUCUCUCCAGUCAUACUCAGCACUCCCAUUUUAACAAACUACAAGAUGUAGUUUAUCAUAGCAAAAUUCUCACAAGCUGAAAGGCUGUUUUUAGAUCCUGUAAAGAGAUUUCCAGAACUCUACAUAUAAAUUCUGCCCCUCUGUUUAUAUCUGGAAGGACAAAUGUACCAGCGUGGGAAAAAUGGUUCUGUAGCUUUUAAGAACAAGAUUUCAAAUCUCUUUAAUCCCUCAGUAAAAGUGACACGUAAUUUAAAAAAUGGUGAGUCAUGGUAUACUUUUCUAUUUUUUUUUUUAGGAGAAAUACAUCACUCAGUUAUAUUUUAUAUUCUGAGCUUGCGUAGAGGAAACAUUAAUGUCACAUGCAUGUUAGACAUGCACUCAGUCCUGCUCUUGAAUUCCCAUCAGAGCUGACAUUGCCAUCAGAGCAAGUGGGACUGGGCCUGAGUGCCUUAUUUUGGGUGAAGGGUUAUUUUUGGUGUUAGUGUAAAUGAGCUUUGUCAAAUACAAGAACAAAGUCACAAGUCUCCCUUGUUUAUUGAGAUUAAAUUUUUGGUUCAGGUCAGUGAUAAUAGUUAAAUAAUCUUGCACAACCUUGUUUCAUUUUUGUGCCUUUUUUUUUUUUUUACUGCAAGCAAUUAAAUAAUUUCAGAAAAGGCACUUUAAAGUUUGUAAGUAUCACAACCACCUAAUUUUCAAUUGUGUUCUCUUUAUCCUGAAUGAGAUGAUAUGCUUAACUUAGAUUAUUUUCCAUUAACAGCUUGACAAAAAAACACAGCAACAAGGAAAAAUAAAGAUGUGAAAGCUGCCCAGUGAAAAGGUGUUUAAAAGAAAACUUCGUGCUCUAUCUACAUAGCAGCGGAAUUUAUCCCCUUAAUAAUCCCUUAUCUUCUUGCCCUAUGCUCCCCAUUUUGCUCCCCAUGCUCAGAACUCCAGUUUGUUUCCUAGACACAUUUAAAAAGCAAGGUAUAAAAAGGUUUAAUUUUAAAAAUGUAAACCAUCCACUGGAAAUAAAAGUUACUUUUAAGCAUCCCUAACAAGUGUUUAGGAAUACAUAUUCUUACAUCUGUAAGCUCUAGAUGCCUCAGAUUUAGCUGUUUUAUUGUGGGGGGGGAGAGGGUGGGGGGUGUUCUUCCCUGGUUUCUUCCUUAAAAUCUGCUGCAGGAAAUUGUAGUCCACCAUCAGUCUGCAGAAACCAGAUUUCUACUUUUCACAUGCACACACCCCCCCAGCAUUGUUUUAUCUCCACUCUCCGUUCUAGCCACUCCAAAAUUCCUGGUAGUAGUUUCAGGUGCCAAGCACACCUGACUGAAAGAACAAAAUGUCAUGGGUUUUCUCCUGAUAAACUCAGCUUCUGCUGUCCUGACAGCCUUCGUUUCUUUUGGAUUGAGCUGACUCAACACAUCUGCUUUUCUUAGCGCCAGAAUGUGCAGGGAAAACCUCAGGAUUCAAAGACAUGGCAACUUCAAAGCCAGCACAAACUGUAGUAGUUCUGUACAGAAAUAAUUUUAGACAAGUUAGAAAGCUACAGGUUACUGCGAAGUCACCUCUUUUCUUUUGGUGCAGUGUUGUAAAAAAAGUAGUGCCAUCCACAUUUACCUGAGCCAGUACCAUGCACAGGAAAAGGAAGGCAGGAGAGGAAGGAAAAGAAGACAAGAUGCGUGUUCUCAAAGACAUUUCUGACGCCUCGGAACUUCCUUCCUUCAGCUUUUACCUUCUACAUAUACUUGGCGUGAAGUACUACGGAAUAUUGUAUGUGCUUCACUAUUUUAGAGUGAAGAGAGACAUCCGUGUAAGAAGUAGAGAGUUCUGCAGCAAGUUACUGCCACCAUAUGCACUGAUGGCAUACAAGGAUAAUUUGAAAAAUCAUUUUUUGUUUCAAUUAACCCAAAAGAAUACAAAGCUGAAUGAGAGACAUUGAUCUUUCAGUUUCACAGGAUCACAGAAGAACAGAGCUGAGAUUACAAGGGAUCUCUAGAUAAAUUCUAGUCUAAGCCCCAGCUCAAAAGUGAAGUCACAUUGUUCUGAGUACUGUUCAGCCAAGCUUUGAAUGUCUCCAUUAAUGGUGACUCCACAGCCUCUCUGGCAACUUGUUCCCAUGUUUGACUGAAAGAAGCUCUUCUCAUAUGUUUAACAAAAACUUUGUGUAUUGCAAUUUGUGCCUGUAGCCUCAUGUCCUUUCACUGGGCACCACUAAAAAAACAUGGCUAAUUUUUUUCUUUGUAAUCUUAAAUUUUAAUUGCAAUUUUAUUUUGCAAUUCCCGGAAUGCUUAAAGCAUUUGUUAAAUGAAGACUACCUGCAGAGAAUCAGCAGUGCUGCUCAUAGCACAAGAAGAUAUAGGAUGCUUGAGGUAUUGCAGCACCCUCGUUUGGGGGAACACUUAAAACCUAUCUCUCAGAUAUGCCCAGUAUAAGUUAUCUUCCUACAUAUAUAUAUAUAUAUAUGUAUGUAUGUAUAUAUAUGUUUGUAUUAUACACCAUAUGUAUGAUCAGCAGGUAAUGGUCAGUACUCAACAUCAUUAGCCACUCUAUCAAUAUUAUGCUUUUACUCAUGUACAUUUUUUUUCUUGUGGUGAACUAGUUGUUCACAGCUUCCAGAACCACAGUUGACACUGCUGUACAGUCCAACUUUGUGUAUAGUAUCUGGUUAUGUGAUAUUUGUAUGAAGAGCUGUUUCUUGUUUCAUACUACAGAACUAAUUGUCCUGACCCUUAUCUCAGCUGCAUGUAUCCCAAACUAGGUAGCUGUUCUGUCGAAAAUAAUUAUUUGGCAAAUAUAGAAGUCUGCUGUGUUUUAAGAAAAGAAAGGUCACAGAAAACAAGUUAAUCGUUCACAAAGUACAAGUGAAUAACAAAAUUAUCAAUGCUUGUUUUCUAAAUAUUGGAGUGAUUUUUGUGGUUGGUUUUUUUUUUUUUUUUUACUAUUCCCGCCCUCUUCAUUUCACAGCAAAACAAAGGGAAGACUUUUGAACUGUGAAAGUUGUGAAAUAAGUGAGGUUUUCACAGCCAGCAUCUACAGCCUUCUCUCUUGUCUCUAGCAGGGUCAGCACACCCUUUUCCUGAUUGUUUCACCCAGCCUUUCAAAUUCACUGGUUUGGAAAAUUCUGAUAUCCUAUUUUCCCUUCUCUUUCUCACACAAACUAUUUGUCUAAGGUUUGGGAAAGAAAGAAAGAUUAGCCCUCCCAUUGUAAGCCAACACCAAUCACUAAACAGAUAAUACUUACAUACCUAGUUAAAUAUGUGACAUGGAUAGCUUUUAAGAUAUUUCUUGCACUUGUGUAAAGAAGACCAGAUAGAAAGUCACUUACUGGAGGAAAAGAAAAUCAGUAGUUGAUGAUAAAGGGUACUCUUGCUAACACUUGUUAAAUACUUAUCUAGGACUAAUGAAUAAGUUCUGCCUAUUUGAGAUAGCAGGUUUUCCUUGUUAUCUUCAUCUAGAAUGGCCUAUUAAUCCAUUAAAACAGGAGAAGUCUUGAAAAGGAAAAAAAAAAAAAACCAAAACCUAACUCAAUAAGAAAUUUAAAACCUGGAAUUUACAAUUAAUUAAAAUUAAAAUAAUUCACUAAGUAAAAUGCUAAUUAUCUGUGCCAUCUUUCCAGAGUCCUUGUCCUAGCUCUUUGCAGCUCUGCAGGAAAUGUGGUUUUAACUUUACCUUUAUAGUCCUUCACAAUUUAGCCUCCUUCCUAAUUUAGCUUUAUCUCCUGCUGAUCUAAUAUAACUGCCACCAUGCCUGGCUUUAUGGCCCACUAGAUUCUGCUACAAAUGUCAUUGUCCUCUCUCCUCAGUUUGCUAACUAAACGUGAGGGAAAUCCCUGAUCCCAAUUUGUAUAUGGACUCCUGCAAAACGCCUUUAAAGCUUCAUUAUGAGCAUAAGGUUCUGCUUGCUGACUGUGACUAGAAACAAGCAGGGAACUCUUUGUACACCUCUUUUCUCUGUUUCUCUUUCCGGUACUUUUAAUAAUUAUUGUUUUCUUUAUCACAUCCUACUGUAUCAAAUCCUACUACAGAUUCCCCUCUUAGCAGCAAACCUAGCAGCUAACACAGCUACACCAAUUAAUUCACUGAUAUUUACAGUGCUCUCCUACAUUUGUCAUCUGCUUGUGUUUUUGAGGCUGAACACAGUGAAGAAGGAUUUUCUCUCAUCAGUCAUCUUGCAGAGUGAUGGAAAGAGGAUUUGGAAUGCCACCAUUCCAAACUAAUUUCUAAGUUAUGGUCAUUAAUCACCCCAGUUUCAUUAAACAGGUUUUUGUUGUAAGGAUCAUAUAAUUAGUUUUUCUUGCCAUAUGAAAGGAUGCAUGAAUCAGUGGAACUAAUCCUCACUCCAGAAAGUCUAGUCCUUUAAUUAUGAAAGAGAAAUACAAAUAAUUAUUACUGAGUUUUAAACCUGAUGAUAAUAAAUGAAGUUUUUGUCCUCCUCCUGAUUUCAUGGCUGAGGGUAGGACACUACCCUUCCAGAAAUCCUCAGUCUUCACGAAGAAAUCAUAUUACACCAACACAGGACAUGGGUGGACAUAUGAAUAGUCUGUAUCUUGCAAAUGGUAGACAACACAAAAAGCAGAAAUUUCUGGGGAAUUAAUACCUAUUAGUUGAGCCAGCAUGGUAGGAUUUCACACCUGCCAGCACAGGCAAUGUAUAUGAAUAUGUGUCCUAACUGCUCCCACUGCUCCCUGGGGCCAGGGAGCAAAUCUGCAGCUCUGAUUCAUGCGGAUUGUCCUGCAAAUAGCUGGGCUUCCUAUCUCUUCUCCUGCAUAUGCAAUCCCUUGGGUUACAGACCUGGUGCUGCAAAGUGCUCAGCUCUGGCUUCUGCUGAAGUCAUCGGAGAGAUCCCAGUAGCAUUAAGGAAGACGUAGCCCUAGAGUUUUUAAUAUUACAUUUUAAACGAAAAAUAGAUUGAAAUGAACAAGGCUAAAUAAAAAUAAAUAAUUUAGGUAUAAAAUGCCACAAGGAAAGCCCAAGGACAACUAUUUUUUUAAAUUAAAUCAAUUUAGCUAGGUUUCCAUGAGGAAAUAGAUAUUGUGACUCGACUGACACUUUGCUAAACUAUGAGCAAAACCUUAUACUCUUUAUGUAUGGGCAAAGCUGAUCAAUGGUUUUUCCUACUGUGCUUCUACUAGAAGGAGUUGUAACUUAUCGGAAGAAAGAUUGUAAUUUUACUUUGUGAAUUUAUAGUCAAACCAUAGUCCAUUUUGGACGGUCUAUAUAUGUUGCUACAAUAUAAAUGCUAACUAAAAAUGUUUCUUGAAAAUAAAAACAGACUGUAUAACAUAA